rnacentral:tRNA from 1 species
GGAGGUAUAGCUCAGUGGUAGAGCACUUGUCUGGCACAAGGCCCUGGGUUCAAUCCCUAACACCACCA